GACGAACGCUGGCGGCGUGCCUAAUACAUGCAAGUCGAACGCACUCUCGUUUAGAUUUUGGGAUUUUGCGCGUGAAUGGUAAACAUGUGAGUGAGUGGCGGACGGGUUAGUAACACGUGGGUAACCUGCCCUAAAGUGUGGGACAACAUUUGGAAACAGAUGCCAAUACCGCAUAAAACCUAACACCGCAUGGUGCAGUGUUGUAAGAUGGUUUCGGCUUUCACUUUAGGAUGGACCCGCGGUGCAUUAGGUAGUUGGUGGGGUAAAGGCUCACCAAGACGGUGAUGCGUAGCCGACCUGAGAGGGUGAUCGGCCACACUGGGACUGAGACACGGUCCAGACUCCUACGGGAGGCAGCAGUAGGGAAUCUUCCACAAUGGACGAAAGUCUGAUGCAGCAACGCCGCGUGAGUGAAGAAGGUCUUCGGAUCGUAAAACUCCGUUGUUGGGGAAGAAUGUAUCUGGUAGUAACUGAUCAGGUAGUGACGGUACCCAAACAGAAAGCAACGGCUAACUACGUG
rnacentral:rRNA from 1 species